CCACGAUCCCCAUCUAAUGAGACAACUCCCCAGUUCCUCCCACCUUCCUCAACUCUCCUCUUUCUUCGAUUAUGGAUGCUAUAAAAAAAAUCGAUUUUUUGAAACCGUAUACACAGAGAAGAUUAUACUUCAGAUUUGGAAAAAGGAAAUUCAUCAAUUUCAUUAUUCUCUGCAGGACAUCAUCGAUUUUAUCUGCACAAGCUGGAAAAAAAACUUUAUGUUUUCUGUCUCUACUGGUGGUAAAUCUCUGUCUCUCUGCAAGUGAAGUUUGGCCAAGUAGAAGAGGCACUCGUUGAUAAUUAGGGUGCUCAAGUUGGUUCGUACUUGAUCUUCUUGGAUUCUCAUUCUUCCAAGUGGUUUUGGUUGUUGCUGCUACUUUGCUGUUGCACAUUCAAGGUAAAUGUUACAUGACAAUAGAAUCUGUUUUGCGUUGUAUGAGCUCGAAAACUAGUACUCCGCCGCUUCCCGAUAAAGUCUAGGCUUCAGCGUCUGUUUAUGUCUUCCAAAACUGCGGAGGAUAUGAGAUGGCAUAAAGAAGGGCGAACUGAUGCUUAUGAUCCAAGUAGUCCAGGGAACCGCAUUAAUGUGUUCUUGAGACCUAUAAAUUUCUCCAGUAGUUAUAAUGAUAUUCUCAAGAAUAAAAUUGUUCAAGAAAACUCUUUUGACCAAUAAAUAGUUCUUCUCGGCCCAUGUGCUGGCCUUGUCGUAUGAUGCUUUGAGAAGGUAAAGUAUUAAGAUUGAUAGAUUUUUUUAUGCACCAUAGUGUUUCUCUUUGGAGAAGGAUAUUUGUCUCACAAAUAGGACCACUCAACCAAAACGUGGAGCAGGGUGGCACUACAAACUCAUGUACAAUUUAGUAACUUACAUUUAUAACUUAUAUUUCGGAUAGCUUGUUGCUGUUAAAAUGCUGUUGGAGUAUUAUAUUAAACUCACUUACAGGGAUGAUUCCUGAAAUUGGGAAUUUGAUGAGAAAUGAAAUGGCUUAGAAAUGUCACUAAGGAUUUUAGUGUUUCAAUGGGAAUAAUAUCGUCAUUGUUGGCUUUGCUUUCUGUCAAUGUUCUAAUAUCAUGAUAAAUUGAUUAUGUCAGCAUCUGACUCCGAAACAAGCUAACUUUACCUUAGCGUAUCUGGAUUACUUUAAUACCAUACCAAUUAUCUCAAUAACCUGAUCCCACUUCUAGUAUGCAUUCUAGUCUUGGGUUUCUUUGUGUUUUGGAUUGGUUUGUGCUUGGUUGACUCAAAUUUUUCAGUUUUCAUGUUGUGCUAUAUUGGUUGUUAUUCUUUUGUUUUUGUGUAUUUGAUAAGCUAUGGGAAGGAGUUGAUACUUAUGAUACUUAAAAGAGUUUAUUUUAGAUCCAAAGUUUGAUUUAAAAAAAAAAAAUAUUUUCCAGUUUGUUUUUGUUUCCUUGUUGAUGUGAUAAGUCAUUAUUGCCUUGUGUACGUUACUGACCUGUUGCCGAUGUUCCUCCCAUCUUAAUGUGUAUUUUUCUGGUGUAUCUGAUAUUUAUUGAUCUGUUUAGGGACUUGUAUGAUAUCGGCAGGGGAGAUUUUGGCGAAAAAUUCUCUCUUUCAUAGAUUGGAGCAAACCUGUUAUGUUUGUAAAACCCAUUUGUAAACGUCGUACAAAAAACUUGAGAUGUUGAUGGUCGAAAGAUCUCCAUUUCAAGUGGUCUCAUAUUCCAUUGCCUUGGGGAGCUGCGUUGUGGCCAUUACCUCUUGGGACGGGCCAUGAGACAUACAUUUAUUCAAUAAUUUAUUCUCAUAAUUACAUGGUUACUUGGUUUGGUAUAUAUAGCCUAUGAGGAUAUCGAAUUAUAAAGAACACCAUCUUUCGGGACUGUAUGGCUUAACGCCUUGGUGACAUAUUCUGCAAUUCUGAGGCUUGUAGGUUUGAAUUUUAUGGGCAACCAGUUGCAAAUUGCUUGGUCUUCUUGGAGUUCCCUCAAUCUUCUAAGUGGUUGUUGCUGCUGCUGCUGCUGUUACUUUGCUGCUGUACGUUCAAGGAAAUAUGGAUGAAAACCCACAACCUCCGGCAGCAAAGAAAGUAAGAGGAGGGGCUAAGUUGAACUUCCUUAAUAAGCUGAAAAAGGGUGAGAAAGUAUCACUGGAAUUUCGCCGGGGUGCACCAGUUGGACCGAACGCAAAUAAGAUCUUGGCUUAUUGUGGAAAGCUGGCUAAAUGGAGAAAACUUCCCGUUUGACAUUCCAGACUGGUCUGAUAUGCCCCAUAAGGAAGAAAAGCUUGAAGAAGCCAUUGAAGAGCUGAAGAAUAUUUUUCAUUAUUCUGGUGAGAUCAACUUUUGGGUGGAGGAGAGAAUCCAUGAAAAAUGGAAGGCAAACAAACGUAACAUGAGGUUGGAACAUUUUGAUGAGAAGAAGACUGAUGAACAAAACCGAGCUAGUUGUCCAAACGAAGUUAUUGACACUCAGUGGGCAAAUAUGUUGAUAUAUUGGCGUUCACCUGAAUUCAAGAGUGAGAAUGGUUGGUUGUGCCUCAUCAUGGUGGUACUAAGUCAUUCGUGAACCACGCGAUAGAGGUAACGACUAAUAUGAAUCGGUAUUGAUAGUUAAUGUUAUGUAGAUCUUGACAUACUAUAUAUGAACAUAUAGAAGAGACAACGCAAAAGAAAGCAAGUCGAGCGGCUGUGUAUCAGAAAACCUAUAGAGCCAAAGAAGGGAAAGGAGACCAGUAUUCUAAAAUCAUGGGAGCUGAGAAACCAGGUCGGAUUCGUGGUGUUGGUUCAACAAUUAAAGUAACCAAGCUUACGGGAGAAUCUUCUUCAAAUGUUGUCCAAAACAACGAGGAAAAUGCUGCAUUAAGAGAUGAAAUAAAAAAACUGAAGGAGGAUCAGGUUCAUAUGCAGAACGACAUGGAAGAAGAACGUCUUGAGAUGAAGAAAACUGUAGAUGAUAUGAAAAAGGCUAACGAGGAAUCACAGAAAAAAGUAGAUGCCCUUUUGCUGCUGUUUGCUGAUCGGUUGUGUAUUAGCAUAUCCACAAAUAUUUUUGGCAGUGUAUUCUCUAGAUUCUUAAAGCUUUCUCGGGCAUGUAUGAGUAUAUCCGCAAAUAUUUUACAAGCUUUCCUAAUUGCAUUUUGUUUUGUAGAGGGACCUCCCACAUCCAGAGCCAUAGAGUUGUGAUCUUAUUACACGAAUCUGAGGUUAAUUUCAUUGAAAGAACAUGUUCAAGGUGUUGGAAGAUAUAUGACAAUUAACUUUGGAAGUAAGAAAUCCAUCUGUGAUAGUUUAAGUAUUUUAUUUUCGUUCACUUUAAGUAUUUUGUGUAUCAAACUUAAAAUGGUUUAGUAUUAAGUAUUUAUUUGCUUCCUGUAUCAGACUCAGAAUGGUUUAGUAUUGAGUUUUUAUUUGCUUCUGAAUGUAAUCAAUCGGACAAACAUGUAGUACUUGUGUUUUUUAAUGAAUAAAUUGUUUUUCUGAAA